GCGGCGUGUUUUGCUUUAAAGGGCAUUGGCAGCUCAUUUCAUGCUCAAGAAACUGCUGUGAGUGGAUAAUUGGAGAGUCAAGUGUGGUUCUGGCCUUCGGGUACUGUGUGACUUCAUGCCAUCAACUACAGAGGUUAACAUAACAAUAAAGCUUUUACUUGUGUUGCUUUUCUCGACAGUGGAGUUUUGUUGUCUCAGUUUACGUUUUGGUGGCAUGAUAGACAUGGAAUCUGUCGAGGACGUGGCUAAUAUUUCUAAUGUGUUUGGGAUUACUACCCAUUCUUUGCAACUGUACAGUCAUUGCUGGCCACUGGACCGUCACCCUGCAACUGUACAGUCAUUGCAACUGUUGUUUAUUUCUUUGUGUUGAAAGUAGUAACUUUUAACUAUGUUGAAUAUUUAAGAUUCCUUGAAUGCUUAAAGAACAUUUUGUUGUUGAUGACAGUGUUGAAUGUUUUAAACUAAUUUGUGGAUUGUUAAUACAAUGUUGAAUGUUCUUACUUUUUGUUAUUUGAAAAUCAAGUUCAUUUGA